AUUGAACGCUAACGGCGUGCUUAACACAUGCAAGUCGAACGGCAGCACAGUAUGUAGCAAUACAUAUGGGUGGCGAGUGGCGGACGGGUGAGUAAUACGUAGGAAUCUACCUUGUAGUGGGGGAUAACCCGGGGAAACUCGGGCUAAUACCGCAUAAUCUUUACGAAGCAAAGAGGGCCUCUGAAUAUGCUCUUGCUAAAAGAUGAGCCUACGUCGGAUUAGCUAGUUGGUGGGGUAAAGGCCUACCAAGGCGACGAUCCGUAGCUGGUCUGAGAGGAUGAUCAGCCACACUGGGACUGAGACACGGCCCAGACUCCUACGGGAGGCAGCAGUGGGGAAUAUUGGACAAUGGGCGAAAGCCUGAUCCAGCAACGCCGUGUGUGUGAAGAAGGCCUUAGGGUUGUAAAGCACUUUCAGUGGGGAAGAAAAGUUCAAGGCUAAUACCCUUGAAUCUUGACGUUACCCACAGAAGAAGCACUGGCUAAUUCUGUGCCAGCAGCCGCCGUAA
rnacentral:rRNA from 1 species